UUCUCAUUUCUAGUGCACCAAUCUGCAACACUGAGUGAGUGUCUGGCCCCAAACCCAAAGAAAAUGGGCUCUUAUCACGUAAUGAGAAUCUGUACUCUCUCACCAAGUGUUUUUGCUUUUCCUUUGCAGAGGAACUAGCCAAAGAGCGGGGGGAACAAGCUGCAGAGCUGGCAUGGAGAAAGUUUCUGCUGCCUCACUAUACAGGUAGGUGUGUGUUAAGUUGCCCUCUGCAGUGCUUCUCCUGCCCUUGCUGGGGCAUGUUCAGGAGCCA
rnacentral:lncRNA from 1 species